GGUCGUGGUUCAAUGGUAGAGCGCUUGUCUAGCAUGUAUGAAGCACUGGGUUCGAAUCUCAGCACCA
rnacentral:tRNA from 1 species